CUUGAAAUGGGCUGAGUCCCUCUUGCUCACCCUUGACUUGGAAAAACCAGUUUCUCUUUUAUUGUGUUACUAAUCUCUAUUCUAAAAAUUCAGCUCAAUUCUCAACCAUACUCCAAACUCUCUCCUUUCCAGCUACUUUUACUCCCUCUCCUUCAAUUCCAAUUUCCUCUGCUUUCAUUUUUUUUUCUGAAAGGGUCUCACUUUGUCGCCCAGGUAGGAGUGCAGUAGUGCAAUCUUGGGCUCCCUGCAGCCUCAACCUCCCAGAAGCGGGGUUUCACCAUGUUGCCCAGACUGGUCUUGAACUCCUCAGCUUAAGCAAUCCACCUGCCUCGGCUUCCCAAAGUCUUGGGAUUACAGGCGUGAGCCACCGCAUCCGGCCUCAUGUUCUUUUUCAUUAAAGAGAGAAAUCAACUAUUCAGGACCGGCCCCCACCUUUCUUCAGGAGUCAUUUCUGUUCUACACAGGCCUGCCGAACUGGGUGCUUUAUAUAGGACACUGUCAUCUCUCAAGUACACAUCUUGGAGGGUACGGACCCCACAUGAGGAUUUCAGUGGAGUGAAGUUCAGGAGGCAUGGAGCUGACGGCGAUGAGGCCUCGGCAGCCACAGCCGCCGCCGCCACUGCCACCGCCACCGCCGCCGCAGCAGCAACAGCAAGAGUAACUCUGACUUAGGAAUAGAGACAGCCAGAGAGAAUGUGAUCAAUGAAGGAGACAUCUGGAGUAUGCGUGCUUCUUCAGAGGGACUGGUGAUGGGCAGAUUGGAAAAAGCACCACAGAUGGGAACCACUUAUCUUUCUUUUCUGAAAUUGAUGCUAUGAAAAUUUGUGUUUUCUGUAACUUGUAAAAAUUAAAAGUUGCUUGUCUACUGAAAA